GGGCUCUUAGCACAGUGGUAGCGCGCACGCUUUGCAUGUCUAAUGCGCUUGCGUGAGGUCGAGGGUUCAAACCCCUCAGUGUCCA